CUGGCCUUAGAGUACCUUCACAACUACGGCAUCGUCCAUAGAGACCUCAAACCUGACAACUUGUUGAUCACCUCUAUGGGCCACAUCAAACUGACUGACUUUGGCCUGUCCAGAGUUGGCCUGAUGAACAUGACUACCAACCUGUAUGAGGGUCACAUGGAGAAAGACACCAGGGAGUUCAUCGACAAACAGGUGUGUGGCACCCCAGAGUACAUAGCCCCAGAGGUGAUACUGAGACAGGGCUAUGGAAG